CAACAGCGCCCCCUUGUGAUAAUAGAUAAAGGAGUUGGCCUACCCUAGGAGAGAAUGAGAAAAAAAUAGAAUCACGUGGAAAACAAGCCUUAUCAUAUCCGGGGCUGGGCAAAUGGAAAGUUAAAGCGUGGGGAAGUCCCUGAGGAGAGGUUUUAGUUCUCUAAAUUCCUCUCCCACCUUUGUAUCCAUUCACAGAAAUGCCACAGCGCUUGUGAAACACAAGAUUCGUCAUUAGAUUGACAGUCUCAGUAUACUUAGGCAUCCUGGAGCUUCUGAGAAAUACAAACAAAUAUUCAUCAUUGAGCCACCAGGGGGCGGAAGAGGCACAGCGGUCUAGGACAUCACUCUCAAGCGGUCCAGACAAAGCCUGUGGACCACACUGUUUGAGCUGAGCCAUUAUGUCAAAGCUUUGCGUACUUCAGUCAUGGUGUCGUCGCUUCGUGCUUGGCAACACCCCACCCCCCACCCACCCAGGAGGACACCAUGAGUGAACACAGAGACUGGCGGUGAGCUCAUCUGUUUAUGACACUGGGCCCCAUCACCAUUACUGUACCAUGACAGGGGAGUGAGUAGAGUAGAGUAGAGUAGAGUAGAGUAGAGUAAACUAGAGUAGAGUAGAGUAGAGUAGAGUAGAGUAGAGUAGAGUAGAGUAGA
ensembl:lncRNA